rnacentral:sRNA from 1 species
UUUUAAUGUCCACUUCCUUCUUAUGGCUCCAGGGCUACAUAAUUGGAGUCGAUAUAUUCUUCCGAAAAUGCUUCUGUGGCCAAAUUGUGAUAAGGAUACGGGAUGGACGGACCACGGAGGAUAGAUCAGGAGACGAGGAUGGCGAACUGACGUAGACAUGGGUGCAAAAGGUAUAUAUAUAAGACUGAAUAGAUAGGCUUUGUUACCAACAACAAAAUGCCAUCUAUUCUCUCUUAACUCCCAAUUUCCUUCAGUUAAGGCUUCCGCUCUGCUUACACAACUACCUAUCAUCUACUCCGGACCUCUUCCUCCAGCUCUAGGGCAACUUAGGAGUAGAACUAUUACCCGACAGACAAAUUGGUGGUAUUGCGUCUAUCUUUCAUUCCGCACUGUUACCCACCCAUUACAUUACUGUCAACAACAGUUAUUUACUGAAGCGAAG